rnacentral:sRNA from 18 species
ACAUGAACAACGCAAAAUUCACAUUCUUUCAAAAGCGUUCCUACAAAGGAAACUAUCUUCUAGAUAGGGACCUAUGAAGUACGGAAAUCGUCAUAUAGAAUGGAGACAGACUGCAAUGCAGAGUAUCGAUCUUGGGUGCAGUGUCUGCCUGGCCAUAAGGCUCUAUGGGAGGGACUGCAAUGAUUGGUUCUACAG